rnacentral:rRNA from 1 species
AUUGAACGCUGGCGGCAUGCCUUACACAUGCAAGUCGAACGGUAACAGGUUAAGCUGUCGAGUGUCGAGCGGGUGAGUGAUGUAUCGGAACGUGCCCCGUCGUGGGGUAUAACUUCGCGGAAGAGCAGCUAAUACCGCAUACGACCUGAGGGCGAAAGCGGGGGAUCGGAAGACAUCGGGCGAUUGGAGCGGGCGCGAUCGGAUGAGGCAGUUGGGGAGGUAAAGGCUGACCAAGCCGAGGAUCAGUAGCGGGUCUGAGAGGACGACCAGCCACACUGGGACUGAGACACGGCCCAGACUCCUACGGGAGGCAGCAGUGGGGAAUUUUGGACAAUGGGCGCAAGCCUGAUCCAGCCAUGCCGCGUGCGGGAAGAAGGCCUUCGGGUUGUAAAACGCUUUUGUCAGGGAAGAAAAGGUUCUGGCUAAUACCUGGGACUCAUGACGGCACCUGAAGAAUAAGCACCGGCUAACUACGUG